UGGAUUAGUGGCGAACGGGCGAGUAACACGUGAGUAACCUGUCCUUUUCUUUGGGAUAACGGCUGGAAACGGCUGCUAAUACUGGAUAUUCAGGCUGCAUCGCAUGGUGUGGUUUGGAAAGGUUUUUUCUGGGAUUGGGUGGGCUCGCGGCCUAUCAGCUUGUUGGUGGGGUGAUGGCUUACCAAGGCUUUGACGGGUAGCCGGCCUGAGAGGGUGGUCGGUCGCACUGGGACUGAGAUACGGCCCAGACUCCUAGCGGGAGGCAGCAGUGGGGAAUAUCGCACAAUGCGACGAAAGUUUGAUGCAGCGACGCCGCGUGGAGGGUGUAGGCCUUCGGGUUGUGGAACUCCUUUUUCUCGCGAAAAAGGCACAGUUUUGGCUGUGUUGAUGGUAGUGGGGGAAGAAGCGCCGGCUAACUACGUGCCAGCAGCCGCGAUAAUACGUAGGGCGCGAGCGUUGUCCGGAUUUAUUGGGCGUAAAGAGCUCGUAGGUGGUUCGUCGCGUCUGUCGUGAAAGCCAGCAGCUUAACUGUUGGUCUGCGGUGGGUACGGGCGGGCUUGAGUGCGGUAGGGGUGACUGGAAUUCCUGGUGUAGCGGU
rnacentral:rRNA from 1 species